GACGAACGCUGGCGGCGUGCUUAACACAUGCAAGUCGAGCGGUAAGGCCCUUUCGGGGGUACACGAGCGGCGAACGGGUGAGUAACACGUGGGUGACCUGCCCUCAGCUCUGGGAUAAGCCUGGGAAACCGGGUCUAAUACCGGAUAUGACUCCAUGACGCAUGUUGUGGGGUGGAAAGCCUUGUGCGGCUGAGGAUGGGCCCGCGGCCUAUCAGCUUGUUGGUGGGGUGAUGGCCUACCAAGGCGACGACGGUAGCCGGCCUGAGAGGGCGACCGGCCACACUGGGACUGAGACACGGCCCAGACUCCUACGGGAGGCAGCACGUGGGGAAUCUUGCGCAAUGGGCGAAAGCCUGACGCAGCGACGCCGCGUGAGGGAUGACGGCCU
rnacentral:rRNA from 1 species